GACGAACGCUGGCGGCGUGCCUAAUACAUGCAAGUCGAACGCAGUGGGGACGGGUGAGUAACACGUGGGUAACCUCCCAUCAGAGGGGAUAACACUUGGAAACAGCUGCUACACCGAUAUUGUUGGUUUGACCCGCGGUGCAUUAGCUAGUUGGUGAGGUAACGGUCCACCAAGGCCACGAUGCGUAGCCGACCGGGGAGGGUGAUCGGCCACACUGGUACUGAGACACGGCCCAGACGCCUACGGGAGGCAGCAGUAGGGAAUCUUCGGCAAUGGACGAAAGGCUGACAGAGCAACGCCGCGUGAGUGAAGAAGGUUUUCGGAUCGUAAAACUCUGUGGUUAGAGAAGCGGUAUCUAACCAGAAAGCCACGGCUAACUACGUGCCAGCAGCCGCGGUAAUAC
rnacentral:rRNA from 1 species